rnacentral:rRNA from 1 species
UACCCGCUGAACUUAAGCAUAUCAAUAAGCGGAGGAAAAGAAACUAACAAGGAUUCCCCUAGUAACUGCGAGUGAACCGGGAAAAGCUCAAAUUUAAAAUCUGGCAGCAUUUCGUUGUCCGAGUUGUAGUCUAGAGAAGCGUUUUCCGCGCUGGACCGUGUACAAGUCUCUUGGAACAGAGCGUCAUAGAGGGUGAGAAUCCCGUCUUUGACACGGACUACCAGUGCUUUGUGAUGCGCUCUCAAAGAGUCGAGUUGUUUGGGAAUGCAGCUCAAAAUGGGUGGUAAAUUCCAUCUAAAGCUAAAUAUUGGCGAGAGACCGAUAGCGAACAAGUACCGUGAGGGAAAGAUGAAAAGCACUUUGGAAAGAGAGUUAAACAGUACGUGAAAUUGCUGAAAGGGAAACGCUUGAAGUCAGUCGCGUUGUUCAGAACUCAGCCUUGCUUUUGCUCGGUGCAUUUUCUGUUUAACGGGCCAGCAUCAGUUUUGACUGCAGGAGAAAGGUCAGGGGAAUGUGGCACCUUCGGGUGUGUUAUAGCCUCUGGUUGCAUGCUGUGGUUGGGACUGAGGAUCUCAGCACGCGUAAGUUGUGCUUAGGAUGCUGGCGUAAUGGCUUUAAACGACCCGUCUUGAAACACGGACCAAGGAGUCUAACAUGCCUGCGAGUAUUUGGGUGGUAAACCCGAGUGCGCAAUGAAAGUGAAAGUUGGGAUCUCUGUCGCGGAGAGCACCGACGCCCGGACCAGACCUUCUGUGACGGAUCUGCGGUAGAGCAUGUAUGUUGGGACCCGAAAGAUGGUGAACUAUGCCUGAAUAGGGUGAAGCCAGAGGAAACUCUGGUGGAAGCUCGUAGCGAUUCUGACGUGCAAAUCGAUCGUCAAAUUUGGGUAUAGGGGCGAAAGACUAAUCGAACCAUCUAGUAGCUGGUUCCUGCCGAAGUUUCCC